GUAGGUGGCAAGCGUUGCCCGGAAUUAUUGGGCGUAAAGCGCGCGCAGGCGGUCCUUUAAGUCUGAUGUGAAAGCCCACGGCUCAACCGUGGAGGGUCAUUGGAAACUGGGGGACUUGAGUACAGAAGAGGAAAGCGGAAUUCCAAGUGUAGCGGUGAAAUGCGUAGAGAUUUGGAGGAACACCAGUGGCGAAGGCGGCUUUCUGGUCUGUAACUGACGCUGAGGCGCGAAAGCGUGGGGAGCAAACGGGGAUUAGAUACCCUGGUAGUCCAGGCCGUAAACGAUGAGUGCUAAGUGUUAGGGGGUUUCCCGCCCCCUUAGUGCUGCAGCUAACGCAUUAAGCACUCCGCCUGGGGAGUACGGCCGCAAGGCUG
rnacentral:rRNA from 1 species